UACGUAGGGUGCAAGCGUUGUCCGGAAUUAUUGGGCGUAAAGAGCUCGUAGGCGGUCUGUCGCGUCUGCUGUGAAAACUCGGGGCUUAACCCCGGGCCUGCAGUGGGUACGGGCAGACUAGAGUGCGGUAGGGGAGACUGGAAUUCCUGGUGUAGCGGUGAAAUGCGCAGAUAUCAGGAGGAACACCGGUGGCGAAGGCGGGUCUCUGGGCCGAUACUGACGCUGGAGGAGCGAAAAGCGUGGGGAGCGAACAGG
rnacentral:rRNA from 1 species